rnacentral:lncRNA from 1 species
AAAAACAACUAUAUAGCACAAAUAUGCUUUGGCAUUGGCAUUUUCAAUGAUGAAGUCAACAGGAAUCCUGAUCUUUUACCAAAUAUGUCUUUGAUAAUAAAAUACACACUAGGCCAGUGUGAUGGAGAAGCUAUAACACCUACACCCUAUUCAUUUCAUGAAAAAAAAUGCCCCUAUCACUAAUUAUUUCUGUAAUGAAGAUAGUAUUUGUUUGUUUCUGCUUACAGGACCCAAAUAUCCUUCAGUUAAUCUAUGGACCUUUCCAUUCCAUGUUCCCUGAUGAUGAACAAUAUCCCUAUCUCUAUCAUAUGGCCCAAAGGACAAAUACCUAUCAUUGGCAAUGAUCUCUUUCAUACUUUUCUUCAACUGGAACUGGGUGGGCUUUGUCAAUGCAGAUGAUGAUCAAGUUAAUCAAUAUCUCUCAGACUUGAUAAAAUAGAGAAAAAAACAAGGAAAUUUGCUUAGCCAUUGUAAAAAUGAUCUCAAUCUCUGAGGUUUCAGCCCACCAAAAAACUGAAAUGUACUACAACCAAAUCGUGAUGUCUUCCUCUAAUAUUAUUAUCAUUUAUGGGGAAACACAUACUAUGCUUGAACUGAGCUUCAGAAUGUGGUAAUCUCCAGUUAUACAGAGAAUAUGGGUUACCACAAAACAAUGGAAUUUCCCUACCAUUAAGAGAGACUUAAGUCAUGGAACAUUCUAUGGGACUCUUAGUUUUCUACACCACCACCGUGAGAUUUCUGGAUUUAAAAUUUUUGUACAGAAAUGGUUCCAUCUCAGAAGCACAUAUUUAUAUCUAGCCAUGCCAGAGUGAAAAUAUUUUAACUAUGAAGUCACAACAUCUAAGUGAAAAAUACUGAAGAACAAUUCAUUCAAUGACUCAUUGGAUUGGCUAGUGGAACAAAAUUUUGACAUGGCCUUUAGUGACAGUAGUCAUAACAUAUACAAGGCUGUGUAUGCCAUGGCACAUAGGACUCCAUGAGAUGAAUAUGCAACAGGUUGAUAAUCAGACAAUACUCACUGCUUAAAAGUAGUCUCUUCCAUUGUUUGAGGUAAACUCUUUUCUGAGAAAGACCCACUUCACUAAUCCUCUUGGGGACAAAGUAAUUAUGAAACAGAGAGUAAUACUGCAGGAAGACUGUGACAUUUUUCAGUUUGAAAAUCUCUCACAAUACCUUGGGAUUAAGGUGAAGUUAGGAAAGUUCAGCCCAUAUUUUCCACAUUGACAACAGUUUCACUUAUAUGUAGACAUGACUGAGUUGACCACAGGAAAGAUAAAGAUGCCAUCCUCUCUGGGCAGUGCAGAUUAUAGUCCUGGAUUCAGAAGAUCCUGGAAAGAGGGAAUGGCAGCCUGCUGUUCUGUUUGCAGCCCCUGCCCUGAAAAUAAAAUUUCUAAUGUGACAA